CUGGGGUACGGGGAUGGCUGGUCGACCAGUUGGAAAGUAAUUUUUUAUAAUGUAUUUCACCUGGUCCACUAGCCAUCAGUGCCCACUGCAG
rnacentral:pre_miRNA from 1 species